GGAGAGGUUCCCGAGUGGUCAAAGGGGUCGGGCUGUAAACCCGAUGGCUCAGCCUUCGGAGGUUCGAAUCCUCCCCUCUCCACCA
rnacentral:tRNA from 1 species